AUGACACUUAUAAGCUGGAACUGUCGGGGUUUGGGGCAACCCCGGACAGUUCGUGAACUAGUGGGUUUCGUGCACAUCUACAGACCCAAACUAGUUUUUAUCUCUGAAACACGGCAAAGCAAUGAUGUAGUGAAUAAGUUGAGAUGGAGGCUUGGCCUCAAACACUGUAUC
rnacentral:rRNA from 1 species